GAUGAAGAACGUAGCGAAAUGCGAUAAGUAGUGUGAAUUGCAGAAUUCAGUGAAUCAUCGAAUCUUUGAACGCCCAUUGCGGCCCUUGGUAUUCCAUGGGGCAUGCCUGUUCGAGCGUCAUUUGUACCUUCAAGCUUUGCUUGGUGUUGGGUGUUUGUCUCGCCUUUGCGUGUAGACUCGCCUUAAAAUAAUUGGCAGCCGGCGUAUUGAUUUCGGAGCGCAGUACAUCUCGCGCUUUGCACUCAUAACGACAGCGUCCAAAAGUACAUUUUACACUCUUGACCUCGGAUCAGGUAGGGAUACCCGCUGAACUUAAGCAUAUCAAUAAGCGGAGGA
rnacentral:misc_RNA from 1 species